rnacentral:siRNA from 1 species
UCGAAAAUGAGUAUCAUAGGGG